AUGAUGCACCAUGGAACCACAGCCUCAGAACCACUAGAAGUUCAGACUAAGCAGAAAGGAUUGCAUCCUUGUUCACUGCAAAAGGUCUACAACAUCCCCAGCUUGAGCAAGUCACAGGAACGCAUACAUUGGGUGAAUAUGCAUAUUUCACUGCCACCACCUCAUCUGCUGCAUGAGGCAGGAAGGUUCCAACAUGGACCUGCAAAAGAAGUAAUCAUUUAUGAUGGUGAAGUUACUCAAUGUUGGAUCAUUUCAGGGAAACAAGACACAAGAGAAGAUUAGAUUGUAAAUUCAGAAUCACAGAAUUGUCUGGGUUGAAUGAGACCUCAAGAUCAUUGAGUCCAACCUCUGACCUAACACUAACAAGUCCUCCAUUAAACCAUAUCACUAAGUUCAACAUCUAAACGUCUUUUAAAGACCUUCAGGGAUGGUGACUCCACCACUUCCCUGGGCAGCUUGUUCCAAUGUCUCACAACCCUCUCAAUAAGGAGAAGUUCUUCCUAACAUCCAACCUAAAACUCCCCUGGCACAACUUUAGCCCUUUCCCCCUCAUCCUGUCACCAGGCACAUGGGAGAACAGACCAACCUCCACCUCGCUACAGCCUCCUUUAACGUACCUGUAGAGUGCGAUAAGGUCACCCCUGAGCCUCCUUUUCUCUAGGCUGAACAAGCCCAGCUCCCUCAGCUGCUCCUCAUAAGACUUGUUCUCCAGACCCCUCACCAACUUCGUCACCCUUCUCUGGACUCUUUUGAGCACCUCGAUGUCUUUCUUGUAGCGAGGGGCCUAAAACUGAACACAGUACUCAAGGUGCAGCCUCACCAGAACCGAGUACAGGGGGAAAAUCGCUUCCCUAGACCUGCUGGCCUCACUGCUUCUUAUGCAAGCCUGGAUGCUGUUGGCCUUCUUGACCACCUGAGCACACUGCUGGCUCAUAUUCAGCCGACUAUCCACCAAUACUCCCAGGUCCUUCUCUCCUAGGUAGCUUUCCAACCAUUCCUCUCCCAGUCUGCUGGGAGCUCUGCUUGGGGUUAUUGCACUCCAGGUGCAGGACCUGGCACUUGGCCUUGUUGAACUUCAUGCAGUUGGCCUCAGCCCAUCGGUCCAGCCUACCCAGAUCCUCCUGCAGAGCCUUCCUACCCUCGAGCAGAUCAACACACUCACCUAACUUGGUUUCAUCUGCAAACUUACUGAGGGUGCACUCGAUCCCCUCAUCCAGAUUGUCGAUAAAGAUAUUAAAGAGGACUGGCCACAGUACCGAGCCCUGGGGAAUGCCACUACUGA
rnacentral:lncRNA from 1 species